GGUAGGGGGGGCAAGCGUUGUCCGGAAUUAUUGGGCGUAAAGCGCGCGCAGGCGGUCUCUUAAGUCCGAUGUGAAAGCCCACGGCUCAACCGUGGAGGGUCAGUUAGGAAACGUGGGGGACUUGAGUGUAGGAGAGGAAAGUGGAAUUCCACGUGUAGCGGUAGAAAUGCGUAGAUAUGUGGAGGAACACCAGUGGACGAAGGCGUACUUUCGUCGGCCUACAACUGACGCUGAGGUGACGAAAGCGUGGGGAGCAAACAGGAUUAGAUACCCUGGUAGUCCACGCCGUAAACGAUGAGUGCUAGGUGUUAGGGGUUUCGGUGCCCUUAGUGCCGAAGUUAAUACAUUAAGCACUCCGCCUGGGGAGUACGACCGCAAAGGUUG
rnacentral:rRNA from 1 species